GAGUUUGAUCCUGGCUCAGGAGGAACGCUGGCGGCGUGCCUAACACAUGCAAGUCGAGCGAGAAAUAAAGAAACGGAGAAUUCGUUCAAAGAUUCUUUAUGGAACAGCGGCGGACGGGUGAGUAACGCGUAGGCAACCUGCCUCAUACAAAGGGAUAGCCUCGGGAAACCGGGAUUAAAACCUUAUAAAACCGAAGGAGCACAUGCUUCAUCGGUCAAAGAUUUAUCGGUAUGAGAUGGGCCUGCGUCUGAUUAGCUGGUUGGUGAGGUAACGGCUCACCAAGGCGACGAUCAGUAGCCGACCUGAGAGGGUAAACGGCCACAUUGGAACUGAGACACGGUCCAAACUCCUACGGGAGGCAGCAGUGGGGAAUAUUGCACAAUGGGCGAAAGCCUGAUGCAGCAACGCCGCGUGAGCUAUGAAGGCCCUUGGGUCGUAAAACUCUGUUGAGAGGGAAGAAAAAAAUGACGGACCU
rnacentral:rRNA from 1 species